AGUGAACGCUGGCGGUAGGCCUAACACAUGCAAGUCGAACGGCAGCACAGUAAGAGCUUGCUCUUACGGGUGGCGAGUGGCGGACGGGUGAGGAAUACAUCGGAAUCUACUUUUUCGUGGGGGAUAACGUAGGGAAACUUACGCUAAUACCGCAUACGACCUACGGGUGAAAGCAGGGGAUCUUCGGACCUUGCGCGAUUGAAUGAGCCGAUGUCGGAUUAGCUAGUUGGCGGGGUAAAGGCCCACCAAGGCGACGAUCCGUAGCUGGUCUGAGAGGAUGAUCAGCCACACUGGAACUGAGACACGGUCCAGACUCCUACGGGAGGCAGUAGUGGGGGAUAUUGGACAAUGGGCGCAAGCCUGAUCCAGCCAUACCGCGUGGGUGAAGAAGGCCUUCGGGUUGUAAAGCCCUUUUGUUGGGAAAGAAAAGCAGCAGGUUAAUACCCCGCUGUUCUGACGGUACCCAAAGAAUAAGCACCGGCUAACUUCGUG
rnacentral:rRNA from 1 species